rnacentral:rRNA from 1 species
UACGUAGGGUGCAAGCGUUGUCCGGAAUUAUUGGGCGUAAAGAGCUCGUAGGCGGUUUGUCGCGUCUGCUGUGAAAACCCGAGGCUCAACCUCGGGCCUGCAGUGGGUACGGGCAGACUAGAGUGCGGUAGGGGAGAUUGGAAUUCCUGGUGUAGCGGUGGAAUGCGCAGAUAUCAGGAGGAACACCGGUGGCGAAGGCGGGGCUCUGGGCCAUAACUGACGCUGAGGAGCGAAAGCGUGGGGAGCGAACAGG